rnacentral:sRNA from 1 species
UUAUUACUCAAUGAUACACAUGACAUCAAGUCAUAUUUGACUCCAAAACACUAACCAAGUUUCUUCUUGCUUCUCAAACAAAGCGUUGAUGGUGUAGCUGAAGUCCGUAUGAGUCUUUGGCUUUGUAUCUUCUAACAAGGAAACACUACUUGGUUUUAGACAUUCAGUUGCGGUUUAAGUUCUUAUACUCAAUCAUACACAUGACAUCUAGUCGUAUUUGACUCCUAGAAACUAACCAAGCUUCUUCUUGCUUCUCAAAGCUUUGAUGGUGUAGCCGUAGUCCGUAUGAAUCUUUAUCUUUGUAUCUUCUAACAGGAUACAAUACUAAGGCUUUUAAUA